UCACACUUUUCAGACAAGCCUCGCCGCUGUUAGAUGUCAGAAUUUAAUGCUGACACUCUCUUUCAAACUCAAGGAAAUCUGUCAAGAAACCAACAAAUAACCAAAUCAAAUCAAACGACUAAAAGUCUGCAAGUAAGAGAAAUAUGAUGAUGAUGCUUUGGAUUCUUCCUUGACGAGAGAAAAAUUGGGGGACUUUUUCUCUGUUAAAAUUCGUGGAGAGAGAUGCAUUGUCAAGUAGGUGGUGAAUUGUGGGCUCGGUCAAUUCUUUUUUACCAUGAAAAGGAGGAUUUCAAGCGUGAUGAAACAUAAUGGGAAUUAAGAAUUGGUUCAGUAAGAAAUUUGGAGUCCAAUCGAGGUUGAGGAAGAUGAUAAAAUGCAUUUAUUCAGAGGAUCAACAAUUAAGAGUGGAUAAAUUAGUUUCUUCAUCAGAGUCCCUGGCAACUCGGGACUAUUCUGCUAGUGGAUAUUCUUCUCGGCCUGGUGAGAUGGAUUCAAAAGUUGAUAAUAGCAACAUUGAAGAAGCAGAGUCAUGUCUUCGUGAAAGUGGUUAUUUGAACUACGAGGAAGCUAGAGCGUUACUAGGAAGGCUUGAGUUUCAGAAAGGAAACAUAGAAGCUUCACUUCAUGUAUUCGAAGGAAUAGAUGUUCCAUCUGUGACUUCCAAGAUGAAAGUUUCCCUUUCAAGAAGAUGUGAACAAAACUGGCGCCAUUCUCAAAGCGAUGCUUCCCCAGCAAUGUCUAUGCAUGCUGUUAGUUUACUUCUUGAAGCUAUUUUUCUCAAAGCCAAAUCAUUGCAAGGUCUUGGAAGAUUUGAAGAGGCUGCUAAAUCAUGCCAAGUUAUAUUAGAUACUGUUGAGCAUGCAUUACCUGAAGGCUUUCCAGAAAACUACUCUGUAGAUUGUAAACUGCAAGAUAUUAUAAACAAAGCUGUUGAAUUGCUUCCAGAACUAUGGAAACUUGCUGGGUCACCCCAAGAAGCCAUUUUGUCAUAUAGGCGGGCUCUUCUGUAUCAUUGGAAUCUUGACACAGAAACCCUCACAAAGAUAGAAAAGGAAUUUGCAGUUUUUCUUUUAUACAGUGGUACUGAUGCAAGCCCUCCAAAUCUACGUUCACAGAUGGAAGGUUCUUUUGUGCCAAGAAACAACAUAGAAGAGGCUGUUCUCUUGCUACUGAUUUUACUGAGAAAAUUUGUUCUCGGAAGAACUGGAUGGGACCCAUCAAUUAUAGAUCACCUUUCAUUUGCCUUGUCUAUUUCAGGGGAAUUGUGGGCUCUGGUCCAUCAGGUUGAAGAGUUACUUCCUGGGAUCGUGGAAAGAAAAGAGCGAUAUUGUACUCUUGCUCUUUGUUAUUAUGGAGGAGGGGAAUACAUGGUUGCUUUGAAUCUUUUGAAGAACUUAUUGAACCACAGAGGAAAUUCAGACUGCAUAAUGGAAUUAUUGCUGGCUUCGAAGAUUUGUGCAGAGAAUAGGGUAUGCAUUGAGGAAGGAAUAACUUAUGCUCGCAAGGCACUUUCCAAGUUUCAUGGAAGAUGUGGCCAGAUGGUUAGCAUUGCCAACUGUUUACUGGGUAUUUUACUGUCAGCUCAGUCGAGAUACGUUGUUUCUGAUUCUGAGAGAACUUUGAAGCAGUCUGAGGCUCUGGAGGCACUGGAAACUGCUGCAAGAAUGAUGAGAGAAAGAGAUCCAUAUGUUGUAUUCCAUCUUUGUUUAGAAAAUUCUGAGCGGAGGAAGUUGGAUGUGGCACUUUAUUAUGCAAAACAACUGUUGCAGGUUGAGGCUGGCAGUAAUGUUAAAGGAAAUAUCCUUUUGGCUCGAAUAUUGUCAGCUCAGAAACAGUUCGUUGAUGCGGAGACUGUAAUAAAUGCUGCUCUAGAUCAGACAGGGAAGUGGGAGCAAGGAGAACUACUGCGAACUAAAGCUAAACUCCAGAUUGCACAGGGCCGACUAACAGAUGCCAUAGAAACAUAUACACACCUCCUUGCUGUUCUCCAAGUUCGAAAGAAACACUUGGGUGCUGGGAAGAAUCUUCUUAAGAAAAGGGACAAUCAUGAUAGGACUUUGGAAAUAGAAACAUGGCAUGAUCUAGCUAAUUUGUACACAAGUUUGUCUCAAUGGCGGGAUGCGGAGAUUUGUCUUUCAAAAUCCAAGGCUAUCAGUCCUUAUUCUGCAUCUGGAUGGCACUCCACAGGUUUACUAAAUGAAGCAAAGGGUCUGCACCAAGAAGCUCUGAUAUCAUUCAGAAAAGGGAUAGAUGCUGAUCCCACCCACGUCCCAAGCUUAAUAUCCAUCGCCUGCAUCCUCAGACGGAUUGGUGGGGAAUCAAUGAAGACAGUGAGAAGCUUCCUCACUGAUGCCCUUCGACUUGACCGGACGAACCCUGCAGCUUGGUACAAUCUUGGGCUGCUGUACAAAGCUGAUGCCAGUGCAUCAACCCUGGAAGCAGUCGAAUGCUUCGAGGCUGCUGCUCUUCUUGAGGAAACUGCACCAGUUGAACCUUUUAGAUGACAAAUUCUACAUGUAACUUCAACAAUCUCGGCCAUUUAUGAAUGUAAAUUAAUUAUGAGUUUUAGCCAGAGGGAGGGAUGCUUCAUUCUGGAUGAUAAGAAGAAUUUUGUUUGGUCCAACAUUCAAGGUUAUAUUGUGUCCUUUGUGACAACUCACAGCCAUGCUGGUAACCUAAAAAGCUAAGUCAAGAAAAUUGAAUUUGAUUUGUAAUAAUACUGGAUGGACAGAGGGAAACUGCCAAUGCAUAGUUCCAUUGGAUAUUUGGUGAUGUCCAGAUACAAGCUGAAAGUCCAUAUAGAAUGUUGGUACUGCAAUUGUAUGGCAAUGUGAUACUGAUAACUUUUACAAUUUUUGAUACCCAAACUGAUUGUUAUGAACUCUCCUGGUUACCAA